ensembl:snRNA
GAACAGUCUGAGGAGAGAGAAGGUGUAGCACUUAGCUUGAUCAAAAUGGGAGAGGUCCUUAGUGACCUUUACAACACAUAAUGGUUAGGCAUUGCCAACUGCUCUUUGGCAUUGAAUCAGGCAUAUAU